AUAUUAUACAAAAGUCUUCUCUUGUUACUAGAAAAACAAAGACACGCGAUCAGUGGUAGUCAGAACUAAAAUGCUUCCUCGCUUUUUCCUGUUCACGAUGGUGCUGUUCUGCCUAAUGAGUAUGUCACUUCAAGGUCAAGUCAUUUACGAAACCCCAUUGAAAAUUAUCAGGUUUGAGAGUGCAGCAGAAGUCUACAAGUAUGUGCGCCAACUCUACAUUUACAAGUACUUUCUCCGCCAACGAUUCUCCAGACCAAGGUUUGCCUGAGAUGUGGAAAGCUUUGAGUCACAGACGUUGUCUACAAUUGUCAUUGGAGAACUUGACUUUCCACAAUAUUACUCUGAAAUUUUAUUUAUUAAAACCAUUUUGAAGAUAA